rnacentral:sRNA from 1 species
UUGGCCACUGGUACAUAUCGCCUUAUCCACCGCCUAUCAGCUCUUCACGCAAAUUGUGAUAUCUCAUUGGAAAACUUACCAGGUUUGUCAACCUAUAUAAUUAAAUUCGUCAGAAAAUUUUUCAGAUCCCAAUCCUCUACUCAUCCUGUGCAACUACCGUCUCUGUUGGCAUUCAUUUAGUUCUGCACUCCAUGUCGGUUUUUUGGAAAGUAUAAUUUUUUAUAAAAUUUAUUCAAAUGUUAUGUUGUUAUGACAUUGGCAAUAUUUGAUUUCAAUACUAAAAAAUCUUUGAACAUUAUUAUUUUUCUCAUCAAUUGAAAUUAUUUUAUUAAUGGUGACUUCCAAAAAAGUGCAAAAGUAUGAAGAAUCAUAUGAGUUGCAACUGAUAUAGAGGCCGCAAUUGAGGACGCCAGAUUUGGUACCUGAAACGUAGAAUUGAAAUUGGGAAUUGAGUAUUGAAUCUGCUAAAUUCUGAGAAAGAACUUUCAUACUUUUAUUGACAAUUGAGAUGCCAAAAGUUGAACAACAAACUGAUAGAUUGUUGCACACGCGAUGUUGAACAGGGGGAGUCUGAAAAUACCUUUAAAACUUGAUUGAGAUUGAUUUUAGCCGAAAGCUUUUUCUCUGGUUUAGGUUCAGGCCUAGGCUUACGCUUUGGCUUAGGCUUAGGCUUAUCCCUAGGGGUACAUUCUAGCUUGGCCUUUUUCCACUUACAAAAUGAAAAACUCCGUCUCUGCCUUUUCGUUUUUAUAUUUUCCGUGCAACAUCCAGACGAAGCCGCCGAACGCGAGAAGUAAUAAACACAAGACGAAAACCAUCAGAAUAAUAGCUGAAAUUAGGUUUGAUUUUCUAAAUUUUGAGUCAAAAUAUUCUGAAACUCACCUCCAACUACAGUAAUUUUUGGAUCGAUUGCAUUGUACCAUUCAAGAAACAAGGUAUAGGUCAUAAUGACAUGAAUUAAAAACGAGAUACCGUGUCCAAUGAGGAGUUUCUUUUUUUGCUGCAAUAUUUUUCAAAAUCCAAUAAAAAUUAUAACUUUGACCCACUCUUUCACAUCGGGAGGAAGGUUAUACUGCAUUUUUGCGUGCUCUUUUUCCCCGUUCGAGGCCUGAACUGUCUCUGAGGCACAAUGGCCGUUCAACGUAUGACGUCCGAGUGAGAAACUUUGCAAGGCUGCGCCAAAGUCCUUGAUUAAUUUUGGGUCCCGAAUGUAUUGCAAAACAGAGGCAAUGUUCUGCGGGAUAUGUUCACUGAAAAUAACUUUUUUUAAAAAUCAUCUUAAACGCCUUUUUGUGUUUUUUUUUCAAACACGUAUGGAUUUCUUUGACUUUUUUGGUAUGAAAAUUGUUGUUUUGGGGACAGAGCGUCGGCGUGAGUCUCGCACUUAAAAUCUUUUUUUUAAUUGACUCACUCUUUGUGAUCUGUUGGUGUCUGUUUUGGGUCGGUUGCACUGAAAAUAGUUACAUUAAUUAUUCGAUUUGUUCAACUUUUCGAAUUUUCGAAUAAACCGUCAAAUAUGAUUUUUAAAAAAGAACUCACUAUCAGCAUUAUUUUGUACUUCAUGAGUAGUAUGUAUUUGUCCGCUCCGGUGCAGCUUUCAACCCACUUUUUGGGUCUCAUGUGUCGGAGUACAGCUGAUUCCUUCACAUUAUCUUCACAUUUUUCUGACAUGGACAAUAUUUUCAUCCAGUUAGAUAACAUUUUCCAGGCAAGAACAUUUCCAUAUUUCUUGAAAAUAAUCAGUAUUGUUCCAAUUCGACUCCGAAAAUGAUUCAGAAUUUCAUCGUUGGAACAUAUUUGGUGACUUUUGUUUAGAAUGUUCUCAAUAUUCUUGAUUGUUUUCGAGAUUAUUUGAUAAUCCGGAAAACUCGUUUGAUCGGUUCGAAUGUCCAAGUCGAAGACUUCGAACUCGUAUUUUUCAAUUUUUUCAGUGCAAUUCUGACUUCUUUGUGCAAGUUGAUCUACUAUCGUGUUUUCCAUCUUGACUUUUGAAAAAAAAAAUUAAAUUGACAAGCUGCAGACUUUUCAAUUAAUGACAGAAGAUGUGUUUUGCAAAGGUGUUUGAAGAAAUUUGCUGAAUUGUCCGAUUUGAUGCUGAUGAGAAUCAGACUUUUUGACGUAGCUCUCUCUUUUCUGAUGGUUUGAAAAAAAAACUAACGAAACAAAGAUUCCAAUUGGUUGUUGGUGUUGUAGCGGUAGAUGUAGUGGAAUGAUGAUAAAAUUAGCUCUUUGAUUCAGUACUUGUUGAGGUUAGAAUAGGGUGAGUUCCCAUGUCCCUUUCUUUUUCCCUCGGUUAGUUGUCUUCGUUGUCUCUUUUUCCGUCUUGUCCUCGGGGUCAUUAUUCAUUUUGCCAAUGGAGGUAUCUCUUUUUUUCGUGCACUCUCUCAUUGAGAGUAGUACUCCACAAUAAACAAUCGGAGCGAAAGUGUAGAUAACAGCAACGUCUCGGACCAAUUGUGUAAACCAGAUUGGUUUUUGCAAUUUUGCAACUCGAUUGUAUAAACGUGACGGAACAACUUUUCUUUCAUCGAUGAGUUUAAUCAUCUUUACACUGAUGAAGACCUUGCGAGAUAAGAAUAAAUUUUUGUGGAGUAUCAACUCUCGUUUUUUCCUUAUCUCAUUUCUUCGGGAAUUCCAGAAACAAAUCAUUUUGUUGUUCCUUUUCGCUGUCUCUGCUAUUAAGAAACUGACUAUGUCUCAAAUAGGGGAAACUUCGAAGCAGCUUUUCCAUUUGGCGUUUCAAAAAAAAUUUGUGGAAUCUUUUCUGAAUGGGAAAACACGGAAAUAAUUCAAUGCGCGGCUUACAUACUUGACGACUUAAAAAAAAACCUGGAGACAAAUGUGUUGUGUCAAGUCUUGCCAUUCGUCGGACUAAGAUGCAGUGAAUCUUUUGAGUCUACGACGGGAAUUUUACUGAUCAAACUGGAAUCAAUGAAGAUGAAUUGUGGAGGUAGAAGAGUGAAUUGUAUUCCCACUGUUAAUUAGAGCAUUUUUUCCAAUUACUCCCUAUAUUAAUUAACGGGUAAACAAGGAACGAAUGUGAUGCAUAUUAUCACGUCUGACAAUAAGCAUGCUAUUUGAGAUUCACUGGACUAGAAACUCAAAAGUUGUUGUGAGGUUUGAAUCAACAAUUCUCAAAAAGAGUCUACUCUGACUAGCUCUUUUCUUGAAAUGGACCAAAUUCAAACUCUCGUUCCAUAGUUUUGAAAACAAUACACAACUGAAUCAGCUUUUGUUUUUUUCUGGAGAGCGUAGAUUUUUCAUGGGCUUUUGAAAAAAAAAAUUAUUUUAUCGUCCUUUGGAUGAGUUUCUUUGAAGAGAGAGAGUGUGUGUGUUUUUUUUGUAUUUUUUCUUGGGUUUUUAGAGAUUAAAGGAAAUAGAGAGAAAUUAAUUUUACUUGAUUUUUAGAAAAAUUUAGUGAAAUUGAAAAGAAAAAAAUGGUAAGACUCAAAAGACUAGAACAUCGAACCAAACUCUGUCUGCCUUGAUGGAAUAGAGCACAGACACCACUAAACUAGUUUAGAAUGGAAGGAUCUCACCGAAAACUUUUCAGAUGAAAUAAAAGUUUUUAGGUGGAAUUUUUUUCUUUUGACUUUGAAGAGAGAAAAUCAUAUGAAGAUGAAAUCUCAGUCAAAAGCUCGGUGGUACCUACAUGUUACCGUACGCGAUCGUGCCAGAUCUCGUAGAUAAAAUAAUAGAAAACAUAUGAAUAUAUCGAUAUGUUUAUUGAGAUGAGGGGGAGAAGGACGGGUGUCCGUCUCCCAGCCUCCCGAUAGAAUGAUGUUAAUUCUCAUGGAAUAGAAUGUCUCUAUUCUCUCGUGCUCUCUCACCCCACCAACUGUCGUUGACAGAUGGCAAUGAUCAAGGGCACUCGAUAAAUAGAAACCGAGAAGCAGUAUAGAACUGACCUCUCACACUACUAUGCGGCUGCCCCGCUCCCGACCUUUAUGAUAACCCCACUUCCUAUAUUAUUCUUUUUAUGUAUUGCAUAUAUUCUAUUAUAUAUAUAUAAACAUCCUAUAACCCCAAGGAAUUCCAGGUCGGUAUAUUUAACCUCAACGAGGUACUUUAGGCUAGGAAUAAGAACCACUCUCAACCCUAGCGAGAGUUAGAUAAAGGUUGAUUAUAAUAUUAGGUGCCGAGAGCACGCCUAUAACAUGAAGGUACCACCGAGCCAGGAAAUAAUUUUUUGGGGUGCCCCUGUAUGUAAGAUCGCAGGUUCCAAAAUUGUUUCUGCGAACUCAGAGGAGUCAGGAGUUCACCUAACUAUUCCCUAGUAAGUGUGCCAUAACCGCUACACCAAGGCCACACCAAUAUCUAUUUGGAUUCCCCCAUUCCUAUCACCAUCAAACCCCUUCCCAUCUAUUAUUCUAUUCUCGUCUGGUUGGAAGAGCAUGGAGACAGUUUCCAGUACACAUCACGCCUCUGCAAAACGGACAAAGCAGAUUCUCUUCAAACGGUCAAGGAAUUCCCGACGUUGGACCAACUCCCCCUGAUGCGGCUUGAGUUUUUUUUCUUUUGAUUAUUAGUUGUUCUUUAUUGAUUCAAUCUCUAUUCUAGCCUGAGGGCAUCAUGAGCCAAGUUUGAGCCAUUUUAUUGUGUUGAGUAAGCAAAGUUCCCCGCACAUUUUUUUUUGAGUAUUGAGAAUACACUAGUUUGAAGAGUUCCCCAUUUUCUUUGUAUUGUAUGUAGAUAAGUUACUGUUGAGUAAAAUGACCUCUAAUUAUAUUGUUAAGUCCGUUUUCUUAGAAUUUCACAUUUUGAAAUAAGUAUUUGUGUCUGCCUGAGGCAAUAGAAAUUAAAGAGACUCUGUUGUAUUGCAUUUUAAUGAGAUGAGAGUAGGAUUUUAUUUGGUAUAGUUUUUUCAUAUGUUGUUUAUCCUUCUUGAAAGGGCUUUAAACUCUUGCACUAAAACACUAGCGCUUUGAGGACAAAGCACUUUUGAGAGGGUAGGAUGGCGUGCCGUUACCGUCAUCUGUUAUUUUUCUUUUUGGGAAUCUGAGUUCUGUAAGCCUAACAUCAAAAGCUUCGGGACGAAGCUGCUCAAAAAGGGCGGCAUGUGAGAGGUCAGUUCUAUACUGCUUCUCGGUUUCUAUUUAUCGAGUGCCCUUGAUCAUUGCCAUCUGUCAACGACAGUUGGUGGGGUGAGAGAGCACGAGAGAAUAGAGACAUUCUAUUCCAUGAGAAUUAACAUCAUUCUAUCGGGAGGCUGGGAGACGGACACCCGUCCUUCUCCCCCUCAUCUCAAUAAACAUAUCGAUAUAUUCAUAUGUUUUCUAUUAUUUUAUCUACGAGAUCUGGCACGAUCGCGUACGGUAACAGUAGGGCGACUCCCACCAGACUAACUUGUGUGCGCCUGCACUUAGGGGCGGGCCGCCAUGGAAGUAAAUGAAGAAGGAAGAUAGGCAUGCCUGAUAGGAGGCUUGCCAUCGUAUCCUUCCACAGUUUAUUUAUUUACUCUUCCUUUGAUAAAAUGUCUGAAACGUAAGUUGAACUCAUUGUUUUCCCAAAAAAUUCGAAAUUUGAGAAAAAAAUGCUUGAAAAUCCAGAUUCUGUGGAAAAAUUUCCAGUAUUGGAUCCUCUGUAAGUGAUUUUGUAAUUUCAGAAAAAAAAAUUUAUUAAACAUUUUUUGAGAAAACGUUUUUCAGAAGUUUUUUUCAGAAAAAAGAAUGUACUCCUGUCCCUGCACUCUCUUUCAUCUUUAAUCCACGUGGCAAUGUUCUAUUUCCUAUUGGUCCAAUGGAGUAAAGCCGAUAAUCCAGUUCUCACACAUUUUCAGAGUAGGAAUCCAAAAAUUGAAGUUGUUAAGGUUUUUGAAAAUUAAUUUUCAGUUUUCUGCCUGGUGAUUAUUGGAAUCGGAUUUUUGAUUAUCUUGAUCUUAAUAUUCAGUAUUUUUAAAUCCGAAAUGAAAAGUGACUCACAUGCAAGACGAUUCUUUCAUAUG